AUCCGCGUGAUUCCUUGCCCUUUGGAUUGAACCACUGGUCUGAGUGCCUUAGAAAGGAGGAGAAGUAAAACUGAAGCGCGCUUCUGAUCUUUCAGGGCAUUUCAAAUAGUG
rnacentral:snoRNA from 1 species